AUUGAACGCUGGCGGCAGGCUUAACACAUGCAAGUCGAGCGGGGUGAUGGUGCUUGCACUAUCACUUAGCGGCGGACGGGUGAGUAAUGCUUAGGAAUCUGCCUAUUAGUGGGGGACAACAUCUCGAAAGGGAUGCUAAUACCGCAUACGUCCUACGGGAGAAAGCAGGGGAUCACUUGUGAUCUUGCGCUAAUAGAUGAGCCUAAGUCGGAUUAGCUAGUUGGUGGGGUAAGGGCCUACCAAGGCGACGAUCUGUAGCGGGUCUGAGAGGAUGAUCCGCCACACUGGGACUGAGACACGGCCCAGACUCCUACGGGAGGCAGCAGUGGGGAAUAUUGGACAAUGGGGGGAACCCUGAUCCAGCCAUGCCGCGUGUGUGAAGAAGGCCUUAUGGUUGUAAAGCACUUUAAGCGAGGAGGAGGCUCUUUUGGUUAAUACCCAAGAUGAGUGGACGUUACUCGCAGAAUAAGCACCGGCUAACUCUGUGCCAGCAGCCGCCGUAAUAC
rnacentral:rRNA from 1 species